CCUACAAUUUUGACUUUUCGAGAAUGAAAUUUAAAUAAAGGACAUUCCCUCGGUUUGAUUGUUUGAGUAUUAAAAGUCUAUAUCGCGCGUAAAGUUUGCGGGGAAUCUUGGUAAUACAAAGGUUACCGUUCAUUCACCAAUGAAUAUGGACUUUUCUCAUGAUCAUCUCGAUCAUGUAAUCCCGAUUGCGCAAAGGAGUCCAAUUGUUCCCCGGCUAAGUUCAAACCCAAUUACACCCCGAGUAAUUAGAGAGAUUUCCUCUGUGAAUAUCGAUCGACAAUCGGCUGUCAAUGUAUACGUAAUGGAGCUAGCGUUGAAAGUUCCUUCGAUAUUCUUACUAUUGUGCAAUAAGCAACCAAGGCUGCCAACCAAUUAGCCAAAUGCAAUUUUGCUCUUUUGUUUCUCCCAUCGUUCCACCCAUCGUUCUAUUAUUCGUUCUUCUCAGAUAUCAUAAACAAAUAAUCCAAUGAAAUUUCUCUUCCUCGAACUUGCUCCAACAGCCAAGAUCUUCUCGCGAUCCAUCAAAAUCAUGACUCACGAUCCUUGCCACGCAACGUAUGUAAACUACGUUUCAUUAAAAUUCGACCUAAAAUACCUAAUCUUCUCGAAAAAGAAUCACGAAUUCUCCGUCAUGGAAACCGGUACUAAACGAAAACGAGAAGCAUAUUUGCGUAAUCGAAUCCGUUUGAAAUCUAGCGAAAACGUUUCGAAAUACGAUCCUGUCUAAGAGAGAUCCAUCUCGCGCCAUAUCGUUCCGUCUCGAAUCUUGGAUUUUUGUCACGAAGACGUCAUCGUGGCGGACAUCAAGGUCGCCGAAACCUGCUCCGAUUUCCGUGAACCAUCGCCCGCCACCAUCGGCCUUCUCUCGCUCGUAAAUGGCUCGCCGAUCGGCUUAAUUUCGUCUCUCUUUCGUUCUCCCUCCUCUCCUCACCCCUUCUCUCCAGAGGAGAACUAUCUCCCGAGAGAUAGAGUCUAUCAUUAUACACGGCUACGUGUACUGCACCGAGGGGGACAAUCCCUCUCCUCCUGCACGUAUGGCGGCUCUAUCGAUCGAACCGGUUUCUUUUUCCUUCUUUUUCGUUUUCUGCUUCCUCGUCCGUGGUUCCGCGCUUCGAGGAUUCCCGUCGUGGUUCCGUCCCGGGAGGGAGGGGAAGAAAAGAAGGAAAAAGAAGAAGAGGAAGAGGGGGGGAAAAGAGGGAACGAGACGGCGCUGGACGAGAUGCUACCUCGUCCCGUUUCGCCUCGUGCCAGCCGAGAUCGGCUGUGACGCGCCACGGCAAAAAAGACCUUUAAUAGAGAGCCACGCCGCGGACGACCGUGACUCAUCGGCGAUCCUAGCGGAAGAUGAAAGGCAGAGGCGUGAUCGAGAUGAAUUUGUUCUCGCAGAAAUUGGCGAGGAUGAGAUAAAUAUAUAUAUAUAUAUGUGUACACGAGUUUUUCUGGGAGAAUUGGAGAGUUAUUUUUGGAUGGAAACCAGAGGACGGAAAUUAAAUAUAUAAAUUAAGAAAUAUCGCAAAAGGGGAUGAAUUUAUUCUUGAGAAGAUGAUGUUUCUUAUGUAUUUCUUGCGCUAGAUACAUUGAAACGUGGAGGAAACGUAGUAUCUUUUACAUCGAAUACUUUAUAAUUUUAAAAUAUUAAGUAGAAGUUGGAAGAUGUUGUUUGCUAUUGGCGCACUUUUAUGCAAAUUGAAGAAGCAUUGAUUACCGAUUGGAAAAUAAUACAUAUGUGACUAUUUAUCUGUGAUAAUUGUGCCAUUAAAAUUAUGUUAUUAUGUGUCAUUAAAACUUCUUUUUUCUUACGAGAAUGCGAUAAAUAUAUAGCGUUUGUCACGCAAAUAACAACGAUACAUCUUAUACAUCUUCAAUCUCUCUUACUUUUAUUCCACUUUGAUAUUCGAUAAUAAUUAUUUCUCAAGAAAUUGCUCAACCGUCAACAUCCGCUCGAUUAAUUGAAUAAUUUUUUCACGAACAUUGACGCAGCGAUGGAACAACAACAAGCAUUGGAACAAGAGAACGCAUGGGAACGACGAUGACACCAGCAUUCCCAAUCUUGAUAAUCGUGAUAUCGUAUAAUUUACUGUUUCCCCGUUCCUUGAAAAAUUCGAUAAUGUCAAAUCGUCACGAUUACAACUCGACCAGCAAAAACUCGAGCAAGAAAAGCAAUUUAAAGAAAAAAAUUGCGAUUAACGCGAUCGAUUAUCCGAUCGACGUCCCGAUGAAAGAAAAUUGAUGAAUUUUACAUAACGAUUUGUAAGAUUUACAUGUCAAUUUAUAUCAAUCAAUUUGCAUGCUAGAUCGAUACUAAUUAAAUUUUUGUUUUUGUAAUUAUUAUAAAUGUGCAGAUACAAAAUUAAUAUUGAUAUUCGCACAUAAUUAAUUCUACAUCGAUGCAUAUUAAAGUACGUAUUAUAAAUCGAUAAAUUUCUAAUAUAAUUUUACUUUUAUACCAUCGACAAAACGUUUCGAAAUUACUUCUGCAAAUAUUAUUUCAACAAAAUCUUUUCCCCGAAUUCUUCCAUUCACAAUUUCUUCCACGUAUCAUUCUACGUACCAAAUCCUCGUCUUUCUUUUUUUAUCUAUACAUUUUAUAUUACAACACUUGUAAACACUUUGUUUCCGCGUAAAAAACACACACACACACACAUAUACGUCGCAUUAAUCACGUAAUCAUUCCUCGACAAAAAGUUUUAUUUCCAGAGAAAUCGAAGUACGCAAGUAUUUUUUCGAUCCGGCUAUAUUCCGAAUUAAAAAUAAUGGAACAUUUUUUCCCCGAUCUCGAGGAUAAGAAGCGGUCCACCUGCAGCGCUUACACCCGUCCAUGCGAUAGACGAAUCGUAUCGGCAUAAUAGGCAUUCUAAUGGCGACCCACGAACGAUGCUGAUCUACAUUUCCAGGGAUCAACGAUCCAUCGAGGGAGGGAGAAUCACUUAAGGAUUCCGGUGGACAGUGUUCCGUUACUUCCUCGGACGAGGACGAGGUGGAGCCGAUCGAGCAGAUGGGCUUCUCUUUCGUAUCGAUCUCGUGGAUCGGAAUUCGUCUGGGUCGCGUCUGCUCGAUCCCACGUUUCGAUAUUCCACCACUCGAGGAGAGAAGAUUAUCGCUGUUAAAUGUUUCUGGCUGAAAGUUAACGAGGUAAGAGGACCGAUGAUAAGAGGACCUUUCGCCACCUGUUUCGUUCGUGACGAUACACAAUCGGCGACUUAUAAAACGGUGAAAACCCGCGUCGAGGAUCGCUCGUUUUUUUCUUUUUCUUUUUUCUUUUCUUUUUUACGUAAGAGGUGUUCUCUCGUGAAACCGCGUCAUAUCGAGGAAACGAUGAUCGAAUUGAAAAAGUUUGAUUAUUUAUUGCGAUUGUUAUUUUUAUCGUACCGUAAAGUAUCGAUGAAUUUAUAUCGAAUUUAUAAUAUUAUGAAAUUGUGAACGUUCGGGCGAGGUGAAAAUCUGUUUUCGUCCGUUAAAUAUCGUCACUUUGCUCUGUCACGUUUCGGUAAAUCUUUAAUACGUAGACUAAAGAAAAAAAAAAGAAAAUAUAUUCUGACAAACAGCGCGAUAAAAAUAAGAAUUAAAAAGUACGAAACAAAGAGUUGAAACAACAUUUUGCACGGUAAUUAAAUCAAAUCAAGGAUAAAUGUAUUGUUAAAAGAAAUAAUUUUAAUUCUUCUUAUUUAUUUCACCCUCACUUCUCAACGAAAUUCUUCGCAUAAAAAUAUCAAAUACGAUACAAAACUCAAUAUAAUUAGUAUGUAAAUAGUAUUAAUUAAUAUGCAAAUACUUUUUAUUACAACUGUAUAUAUAUAUAUAUCGAACUGGUUUCCUCUUCUCCCGCCCAUCUUUUUUCUUCUUUUUCUUUUCCUUUUUUCCUUUCUUUUUUUUUGUACCUUUCUUAUAUCGCGUUUUAAACGAUCCGAUAUCGUGAUCGAAGAUGGACGUGUUUUGCAUCCGACACGACUAUUACCUGGCUGGAUCGUUACCUUGUGCUUCGUUUGACGCACGAACGACCUCGUUGACGGUCACAGACGAAUGAAUUCGCGGAUUGGAACGAGAGACGGAUGGCCGGCAUUAGCUGAUCCUUAAGCGGAAGCGUAACGGCAUCCUCGGCGACUUAGCCGUAAGUCUUCGUCGCGAUGGACAACGGGGACACAGCCUGGCUGGUACGCGAAUAUGUUGAUUUAUUUAAAACGAAUCUAAUAAAUGUUAUUAACUUAAGCGUAACUUGGGUUAGACGAUUCUUCAGCAAUUUUUAUUCAAAUAAUAACUACGCGAACCAAUUAAAAGAUUUUUUCAAUUUUCAAAUUUCAAAAUGUAAAUUUUGUUGUCCAAAGUUGAAGAGUUCCAAAGUUGUGACCGGUUAAAGAUAUCGAGAAAAUUUACUUUAUUAAGCAAUCGCUUAAUAAAGUACUUGAAAUUCAUUCGCAGCAGAUCCGCUUUUUCAUAUUCGAUCGUUCGUCAUCGUAAUUAAUCGCGAUUAUUAUUACGUUUCAAUAAAUUAGCGAAGUAAUUAAUUAAAUUUUCCCCUUGGCUCGUUCUGUCCACUCAUCAUCUCACGGCCUGAUUCAAAGGUGAAGUCGAUGCGAAGCGCAUCAGGAGACGACUGUUUCGGUGGCAACGUUUGGAAAUCAAGCAUCGGUGCCGAUACGAGCCGAGCGAGACGAUGUUCGAUCGUUAUCCGGCUCCUUCUCUCGGAGCCAGGCGUGUCCUUAGGAUGGCCUUUCUUAUCGAGAUAACUCUCGAGGACAUCGUCUCUCUCUCUUUCUUUCUCGUUGAGCAACGAUGCUACGGCUCCACCCACUCUCAUCCGUGAUCGGCCGUGCUACCUCCUGGUCUGGACGCCCCCGGCGAUCAAGGAUCUCCGAUCGAUCGAUCGAUCGAUCUCCCCUCCUCCCCUCGUCCCUCUUUCUCUGCUUUCGAUCGAUCGAUCUUCGUGGCACGCGUGAAAACGUGGUCAGCAAAAAAAAAAA